CAGCAGCCACGGUAAUACGAAGGGGGCUAGCGUUGUUCGGAUUAACUGGGCGUAAAGGGCGCGUAGGCGGGUUUUUAAGUCAGAGGUGAAAUCCCAAGGCUCAACCUUGGAACUGCCUUUGAUACUGGAAGUCUUGAGUCCGGGAGAGGUGAGUGGAACUGCGAGUGUAGAGGUGAAAUUCGUAGAUAUUCGCAAGAACACCAGUGGCGAAGGCGGCUCACUGGCCCGGUACUGACGCUGAGGCGCGAAAGCGUGGGGAGCAAACAGGAUUAGAUACCCGCGUAGUCCCUGUCUCUUAUAC
rnacentral:rRNA from 1 species